rnacentral:rRNA from 1 species
CCUACGGGUGGCAGCAGUGGGGAAUAUUGGGCAAUGGGCGCAAGCCUGACCCAGCAACGCCGCGUGAAGGAAGAAGGCUUUCGGGUUGUAAACCUCUUUUUGCAGGGACGAAAAUAGCGAUGCUUGAUGAGGAAUAAGCGACGGCUAACUACGGGCCAGCAGCCGCGGUAAGACGUAGGCGGCAAGCGUUAGCCGGAUUUACUGGGUUUACAGGGGGAGUAGGCGGGAAGGGAAGUCAGAUGUGAAAAUCAGGGGCUCAACCAGUGGACUGCAUCUGAUACUGGUCUGCUUGAGUUCUGGAGAGGUAGGCGGAAUUCCUAGUGUAGCGGUGAAAUGCGUAGAUAUUAGGAGGAACACCGGUGGCGAAGGCGGUUUGCUGGACUGCAACUGACGCUGAGGCGCGAAAGCGUGGGGAGCAAAUAGGAUUAGAUACCCCGGUAGUC